CCCACUUACCCACAUACCCGCCAUGCCAGGGCGGGCCAAGAGCGGUGCCCGGUUCACAGCCAGUGCCAGUAGCUCGCCCGAAGCUGGCUGGUGUCUCCCGUGGUCCUCCGGCACCCACACACAGAAAGCUAAGUGUGGAGCUGAGAAAGAAGGUCCACGCGUAUAUAAAGACAGAAAGAGAAGGAAUAAAGAGAAAAUAAGAAGGGAAAAACAAGAAAAAAACAAAGAAGAAGGGAAAAAGGAAAGAUAAAUAAUAA
rnacentral:lncRNA from 1 species